rnacentral:rRNA from 1 species
CGCUGGCGGCAUGCCUUACACAUGCAAGUCGAACGGUAACAGGUCUUCGGAUGCUGACGAGUGGCGAACGGGUGAGUAAUACAUCGGAACGUGCCCGAGAGUGGGGGAUAACGGAGCGAAAGCUUUGCUAAUACCGCAUACGAUCUACGGAUGAAAGCAGGGGACCGCAAGGCCUUGCGCUCAUGGAGCGGCCGAUGGCAGAUUAGGUAGUUGGUGGGAUAAAAGCUUACCAAGCCGACGAUCUGUAGCUGGUCUGAGAGGACGACCAGCCACACUGGGACUGAGACACGGCCCAGACUCCUACGGGAGGCAGCAGUGGGGAAUUUUGGACAAUGGGCGCAAGCCUGAUCCAGCCAUGCCGCGUGCAGGAUGAAGGCCUUCGGGUUGUAAACUGCUUUUGUACGGAA